CAGAGCAUAGUUUAUACAAAACAUUAACAUUGGAAGUUAAAAAUCGGCGUAAAUCGUCGUGCUUUGA
rnacentral:tRNA from 1 species